rnacentral:rRNA from 1 species
UACGAGUGCCCCGAGCGUUAUCCGGAAUCAUUGGGCGUAAAGGGUGUGUAGGUGGUCAGAUUAGUCUUGUGUUAAAUUCUUCGGCUUAACCGGGGGCAUGCAUAGGAAACGGUCUGACUUGAGGGUGCGAGAGGUCUGUGGAACUCAUGGUGUAGGGGUGAAAUCCGUUGAUAUCAUGGGGAACACCAAAAGCGAAGGCAGCAGACUGUCGCAUUCCUGACACUGAAACACUAAAGCGUGGGUAGCGAAUGGG